rnacentral:rRNA from 1 species
UACGUAGGGUGCAAGCGUUGUCCGGAAUUAUUGGGCGUAAAGAGCUCGUAGGCGGUUUGUUGCGUCGGCUGUGAAAUCCCGAGGCUCAACCUCGGGUCUGCAGUCGAUACGAGCAAACUAGAGUGUUGCAGGGGAGACUGGAAUUCCUGGUGUAGCGGUGAAAUGCGCAGAUAUCAGGAGGAACACCCGGUGGCGAAGGCGGGUUCUCU